GUGCUCGCUUCGACAGCACAUAUACUAAAAUUGGAACGAUACAGAGACGAUUAGCAUGGCCCCUGUGCAAAGAUGAUGUGCAGAUUCAUGAAGCGUUCCAUAUUUUU
rnacentral:snRNA from 1 species